GACGCUGGCAAUGCAAUCGGGCAGGCACUGAAUUCAUUGCACCGAAAUGAGGACGGAUGAGCUGAACUGAGUGGCAGGGCUGAGUGCAGCUCCGGGAGGAGGGCUCAGCUCCUCGUCCCACCAUCCAGCGCUGCACACACCACCAUUUGUGUGCUUUUGUGCUUUAUUUCCAGCCCCGCGGGCUGCCCUACGUGAUGCACGGAGCGACGCGGCUGCCCUGGUGCUGUGCGUUCCUCUCCCUUUUAUUGCCUGCUCUAUGCUCGCUUUUUUUCUCCCCCCUCUGCGGGCAGCAGGGUUGCUCGGCUUUCCUCUCCCCAGCUCGGCAGCUGAUUCCAGAAGUUUCUACAGCAGAGGAAAUGCACGGGGGAGGGGAGCACCCACUGCGGAGCUUUGCCGCAGCCGGGCAGGCGUGGAGGAGGAGGAGGAUGCGGAGGAUGCACCACCUCCCUCACUCCCUCCCUCCUUGGUUCAGGACGCUUUCCAAGCCUCUCCCCCUCGCUACGUUUCCCCAUCCUUGCAGAGGGUGCUGGGAGGUGUUUGCAAGUUGCUUUUUUUUUUUUUUUUUUCCCUUUUCCCCCCGCUCGCCCUCCCCCCCCCCCACUCCGUUUCCUCCCCCUUUGCUAAAUAAAUUAAAAGCAGAGAUGUCUCCUGAUGGAGAUGGAUGAGGCUGGGCUCACUUGCAUGCACUGUGCCACAGCCCUGAUCUGCUGCUUAGGGCAGAAGUGACCUUUCCCAGGCAGUGGGAGGGAGCUUCUCCCCACCCCGCUAUGCUGCUGCUUGGAAUUCAUCUUACAUAGCAGCCUUAUUAUCUUUUUAUCCCCCCUCCAAAGAACAGCUUGCUGCUUCGGGAAAAGCAGGAUUGUUUGUGUAACUCCCACUCUGCAGCAGAUAGCUUCUCUUAUCACUGCACUGCCAGGUGUGGGAAGGAGGAGACCGAAACGAGAGCGAGGACAGGCGAGGUUCCAAUGCCAGAGAAGAAACCCUGUGCUUUUCUAUCCUUGCUUUUAUUCUAAGCACAACUGACUGCAUCUUGUCGCCAUGACUUCAAAAUGUCCAAGCAGUGAGCAAGGAGAGCAGGUAUUGGCACCUCCUCAUCAGCCCUCAUCAAUGAGAAUAUUGGCUUUGGUGUUGUGUGAGUGCUGCUGGCUGACCAGUGGAGGGGCCCUGCCCUGCUAAGCUGGAGCAACGCUUUCUGAGCAGUGAUUUCAUUGCCUGAUUGCUGCAGUGAUUUGGAGCACAGCUGUGACUUUAUGUUUUUCUGGCAAAAAUUUAGCUAAGGGUAAAUAUGAGAUGUCCAGGCCAGAUUUCAGAGUGAGAUGGAGAGCUGGGAGAAGCUGGUGCAUGGUGUAUGUGAAAACUGCCAAUUGUUUGUGUGCCUAAAAAGGCUCAUCUGUGUUUGAAUUAAAUGAGCCUGGAUAGGACAUUCAUUUUUUUCUCUUGUUAGGGAAGUGUUUGCAGAUAUGCCUGGUGCUGGUUGGGGGCCUCUGCUGGCCUGCAGGUACAGGGGACCAACAAACUGUUUGGGAUGCUUUCACAUUUUUCAGGCCACAACACCCUGUAGGAAUUGUACUACUUUUCUGUCAGUUUGGAGUAACUGGGUUUCCUUGGGAGUGUUGGACUUCUAUCACCGCAUGCUUUGGAUUGAAGAGUUACCAGAAUGACAUCUGUGAGGCUUCCAAGCUAAACAAAACUUGAAUUUCUAAUGCUAAAAGCAAGUGAGUGAUAGAAACCUCUGCUCCUCUUCCUAUGGGUGAAGCUGCAGCCCUUUAAGCUUUCCUAUUACACCAAAGAGGUAGAAAAAGCAUAAGCAUGCACUGUGAGUUCUGCAGUGCUACUGGUGAUGUAAAAUGAAAGCCAGAGCUAGCCAAGAAACCAUUCUCCUUUCAAAUACAGUCGCCAUGCACAAGUACUUUUCUUCUUUGCCUUUCCCUGAAGUGAGAGAGCAGUAAUGGCACAAGCGUGCACUCAGUCUGCUUCAUUUAGAACACAGUGAUUCAACUUCAAUGCCAACAUGGUGAAUCAAAAGCACUGAAGAUAGCUGGCUUGCUAUUUAUUUGGCUCUGGGUGUGACCAUCAGAUGCGAUUGGGAAUGUGAAGAAGAGCAACUCACACGGUUGCGCUGUUUUAAACCUUUGUCCUGCAACAUCUCCAGUGUGAUUUCUGUCCUUCCUGCUGGGCAUUGCAUGCGGGGCUUUUCGUGGAGAGGUAAAGCACUGCAACUGUAUGUUAAACAUGGCAACGCACAGGAUACAGUGAUCUCUCCAGUCCUAGGAGGCUUGUAUCCUUUGCAGUAGUCAAACCAGGUGGGGCUGGGAGACUUGAAUUUUUUUUCCUCCUUUCAUCUUCUUCCCCUGCAAUGUUCUGUUUUGCAGCCUGGAAGACAGAAGCCUUCUGCCUAGAGGAUGAAAUGCUUCAUGUUUGGAAAAAACUAGCAGGCUUUGUUUCUGACAGCUCCUUGACUGUGGAUGUCCUUCCAGCCAGGCUGCCUGCAGUGUGACAGCAGUGACCCUGCAUGAGGUUUCUUUGAAGGACCUGGGAGACCGUGUGGCUUUUUUUAGUCCCUCAGAGGUGUUUUCCUGGCAGGGAGGGAGGAAAAUGUUUGGAAAUGCUGUCACAGGAGGCAUGCUUACCUGGCUAGGGGAAAACUUGCUGUAGAAAAGCCAGCUGGCGCAUGGUUUGAAGAGGGAUAGGUUCCUUUCUCUCCAAAAUGGAAUCCCUUAAGGAAGGUAUAGACAAGUAGUUCCUACUCUUGAGGUUUCUGACUGGUUAAAACAAGGAGCUGAGCCCAUUUCCAUGCAGAAAUGUGUGGUACAGUGCAUUGCAAUGCUUUUCCUUGCGUGUGCAGGGUCACACGCUUUACUAAUGGUUUGCAUGCAAGAAGUUACUGCUUUUUUAUUUUUAAUCAGUCCAUCUCCAUUCAGCAGAGCAGCUUCACACCCACCAUCACAGGGGAAACUGAGGCACGGGGCCACUGUGGGAUUACAGGCAGAGCUGGGGAUAAGGCUCAGGUUUGCGGAGGCUCAGGCUCAUGUGCGUCAGAGGGCUGCUUAAAUGGAGAGAUUUGCAAAGGGAAGUGACCUACAGCUCGAUGGCUGGGACUGCUGCUGGACCUGAUCCUUACGGGUGCCUUCCAACUCAAACCACAGUUUGGUCAGGGGAAGAAUUUGGCAGCACGGUGCCCACGGUGAGAUUUGGUGAGCUCCUCCAGUGCCAGAGCCUGGCCCACAGCCAGCCCACGGGGUUCAUGCGGCACUGAACUUUGGAGCCAUUAGAGAUAAACAGCGCUAUAGGCUAAUAAAAGGCUCUGCAUCACAGGGCCCUUGUCUGCUCA